rnacentral:rRNA from 1 species
GACGAACGCUGGCGGCGUGCUUAAUACAUGCAAGUCGAACGGAAAGACCCUGCUUUUGUGGGUUUCACGUGUGGCGAACGCGUGAGUAAAACGUGUGUAACCCGCCCUUGUCUUUGUGAUAACAUUUGGAGACAGGGGCUCAUAUCGGGUAGGAGCUCCUGCUGCACGGGGGUGGAUGGUAAGUGUCGGUUGUGGUGGCUGGACUCGCGGCAUAUUAGCUUGAUGGUCGGGUAGUUGCUUACCAAGGUUUUGACGGGUAGCCCGCCUGAGAGGCUGACCGGCCUCAUUGGGACUAAGAGACGGCGCAGACUCCUACGGGAGGCAGCAGUGGGGAGUCUUGCACAAUGGGCGGACGUCUGAUGCAGCAACGCCGCGUGCGGAAUGACGGCUUUCUGGUUAUGAACCGAUGUGGACUGUACCGAAGCGUGAGUGACGGUAAUGGGUAAAAAAGCACCGGCUAACUACGUG